rnacentral:rRNA from 1 species
GACGAACGCUGGCGGCGUGCCUAAUACAUGCAAGUAGAACGCUAAAGGCGGAGCUUGCUUCUCUGGAUGAGUUGCGAACGGGUGAGUAACGCGUAGGUAACCUGCCUGGUAGCGGGGGAUAACUAUUGGAAACGAUAGCUAAUACCGCAUAAGAGUAGAUGUUGCAUGACAUUUACUUAAAAGGUGCAAUUGCAUCACUACCAGAUGGACCUGCGUUGUAUUAGCUAGUUGGUGAGGUAACGGCUCACCAAGGCAACGAUACAUAGCCGACCGGAGAUGGGGAGCGGCCGCACUGGGACGGAGACACGGCCCAGACUCCUACGGGAGGCAGCAGUAGGGAAUCUGCGGGAAGAGACGGAAGUCUGACCGAGCAACGCCGCGUGAGGGAAGAAGGUUUUCGGAUCGUAAAGGUCGGUUGUAAGAGAAGAACGAGUGUGAGAGUGGAAAGUUCACACUGUGACGGUAUCGGACCAGAAAGGGACGGCUAACUACGUG